rnacentral:tRNA from 1 species
AGAAGAAUUAGUUAAAGUAUAAUCUGAGUUUGUCAAACUCAAGUUGCCUGUGUGGUAUUCUUUUA